ensembl:snoRNA
GAACCAGCAACAUUGAUAUCUCUAAUGUAUAUUCAUUGUAGAUUAUACAAAGUCAGUCUAGCAAUAGUAAUGCCAUCUUAUGAGCCUUCAGGACACUGAAGUCAUCAUGGUCCCUGAAAAUGGCUACAAAG